CGAACGAUGAUCUCCAGCUUGCUGGGGGGAUUAGUGGCGAACGGGUGAGUAACACGUGAGUAACCUGCCCUUAACUCUGGGAUAAGCCUGGGAAACUGGGUCUAAUACCGGAUAUGACUCCUCAUCGCAUGGUGGGGGGUGGAAAGCUUUUUGUGGUUUUGGAUGGACUCGCGGCCUAUCAGCUUGUUGGUGAGGUAAUGGCUCACCAAGGCGACGACGGGUAGCCGGCCUGAGAGGGUGACCGGCCACACUGGGACUGAGACACGGCCCAGACUCCUACGGGAGGCAGCAGUGGGGAAUAUUGCACAAUGGGCGCAAGCCUGAUGCAGCGACGCCGCGUGAGGGAUGACGGCCUUCGGGUUGUAAACCUCUUUCAGUAGGGAAGAAGCGAAAGUGACGGUACCUGCAGAAGAAGCGCCGGCUAACUACGUGCCAGCAGCCGCGGUAAUACGUAGGGCGCAAGCGUUAUCCGGAAUUAUUGGGCGUAAAGAGCUCGUAGGCGGUUUGUCGCGUCUGCCGUGAAAGUCCGGGGCUCAACUCCGGAUCUGCGGUGGGUACGGGCAGACUAGAGUGAUGUAGGGGAGACUGGAAUUCCUGGUGUAGCGGUGAAAUGCGCAGAUAUCAGGAGGAACACCGAUGGCGAAGGCAGGUCUCUGGGCAUUAACUGACGCUGAGGAGCGAAAGCAUGGGGAGCGAACAGGAUUAGAUAC
rnacentral:rRNA from 1 species